CUACCAUGGCUUUCACGGGUAACGGAGGAUUAGGGUUCGAUUCCGGAGAGGGAGCCUGAGAAACGGCUACCACUUCCACGGAAGGCAGCAGGCGCGUAAAUUACCCAAUCCUGAUUCAGGGAGGUAGUGACAAGAAAUAACGGGUCGGGGUUUUGCCCCGGGACUGCAAUGAGACGAAUUUAGACCCCUUAUCGAUCAACAAUUGGAGGGCAAGUCUGGUGCCRGCAGCCGCGGUAAUUCCAGCUCCAAUAGCGUAUAUUAAAGUUGUUGCAGUUAAAAAGCUCGUAGUUGGAUUUCUGGUAGUGGGUUCGAGCGCACAUGCGUGAUGUCUCAUGCCCGUUGCCAUCCUUCUGUUAACCUAUCAGGGCAUUCAUUUGUCAGUUAGGGGCUCAGAUAUUUUACCUUGAGAAAAUUAGAGUGUUUCAGGCAGGCUUGUGCCCGGAUACAUUAGCCUGGAAUAAUGGAAUAGGACUUUAGCCUCUUCUGUUGGUCUGAGGGGUUGAAGUAAUGAUUAAUAGGGAUAGUUGGGGGCAUUAGUACUUAACUGUCAGAGGUGAAAUUCUCGGAUUUGUUAAAGACUAACUUAUGCGAAAGCAUUUGCCAAGGAUGUUUUCAUUAAUCAA
rnacentral:rRNA from 1 species